rnacentral:sRNA from 1 species
UAAACCAAGUGGAUCAAACACUUGAGC